GGGACGUCGUGGGUGCGCGGCUGCGGGAAAACCAGUGCCCCGUGUGGUCGUGAGCGAUCUUGGGCCUAAAGCAUCCGGGGCCGGUUCUGCAAGUCGUCCGUUAAAUCCACCUGCUCAACAGAUGGGCUGCGGAGGAUACUACAGGGCUAGGGGGCAGGAGAAGCAAGCGGGACUCAGUGGGUAGGGGUAAAAUCCGCGGAUCCACUGAAGACCACCAGUGGCGAAGGCGGCUUGCCAGAACGCGCUCGACGGUGAGGGAUGAAAGCUGGGGGAGCAAACCGGAUUAGAUACCCUGUAGUC
rnacentral:rRNA from 1 species